rnacentral:rRNA from 1 species
UAAAGCGAUUCAGCGUGUUACGAUUGACGGAGCGAAGCGACGUCAAAGCGUAUACAAAGUCGAGUCGGUUUAAGGAUACGUUCGUUGGGUAGGGGAGCGUUCUGUAAGCCUGUGAAGGUGUGUCGUGAGGCAUGCUGGAGGUAUCAGAAGUGCGAAUGCUGACAUAAGUAACGAUAAAGCGGGUGAAAAGCCCGCUCGCCGGAAGACCAAGGGUUCCUGUCCAACGUUAAUCGGGGCAGGGUGAGUCGACCCCUAAGGCGAGGCCGAAAGGCGUAGUCGAUGGGAAACGGGUUAAUAUUCCCGUACUUGGUGUUACUGCGAAGGGGGGACGGAGAAGGCUAUGUUGGCCGGGCGACGGUUGUCCCGGUUUAAGCGUGUAGGUGUGUGUUCCAGGUAAAUCCGGUUCACUUUAACACUGAGGCGUGACGACGAGGCACUACGGUGCUGAAGCAACAAAUGCCCUGCUUCCAGGAAAAGCCUCUAAGCAUCAGGUAACAUCAAAUCGUACCCCAAACCGACACAGGUGGUCAGGUAGAGAAUACCAAGGCGCUUGAGAGAACUCGGGUGAAGGAACUAGGCAAAAUGGUGCCGUAACUUCGGGAGAAGGCACGCUGACAC